GACGAACGCUGGCGGCGUGCCUAACACAUGCAAGUCGAGCAAUUCUCUUCGGAGAAGAGCGGCGGACGGGUGAGUAACGCGUGGGUAACCUGCCCUGUACACACGGAUAACAUACCGAAAGGUAUGCUAAUACGAGAUAAUAUACUUUUAUCGCAUGGUAGAAGUAUCAAAGCUCCGGCGGUACAGGAUGGACCCGCGUCUGAUUAGCUAGUUGGUAAGGUAACGGCUUACCAAGGCGACGAUCAGUAGCCGACCUGAGAGGGUGAUCGGCCACAUUGGAACUGAUACACGGUCCAAACUCCUACGGGAGGCAGCAGUGGGGAAUAUUGCACAAUGGGCGAAAGCCUGAUGCAGCAACGCCGCGUGAGCGAUGAAGGCCUUCGGGUCGUAAAGCUCUGUCCUCAAGGAAGAUAAUGACGGUACUUGAGGAGGAAGCCCCGGCUAACUACGUGCCAGCAGCCGCAGUAAGAC
rnacentral:rRNA from 1 species